UACCAGCACCCCGAGUGGUCGGGACGUUAUUGGGCCUAAAGCAUCCGUAGCCGGUUCUACAAGUCUUCCGUUAAAUCCAGCUGCUUAACAGAUGGGCUGCGGAAGAUACUAUGGAGCUAGGAGGCGGGAGAGGCAAGCGGUACUCGAUGGGUAGGGGUAAAAUCCGUUGAUCCAUUGAAGACCACCAGUGGCGAAGGCGGCUUGCCAGAACGCGCUCGACGGUGAGGGAUGAAAGCUGGGGGAGCAACCGG
rnacentral:rRNA from 1 species